rfam:Rattus norvegicus chromosome 2, whole genome shotgun sequence.
GGAGAUUUAGCUCAGUGGUAGAGCGCUUGCCUAGCAAGCACAAGGCCCUUGGUUCGGUUCCCAGCUCCG